rnacentral:rRNA from 1 species
GUGGGGAAUCUUGCGCAAUGGGCGAAAGCCUGACGCAGCCAUGCCGCGUGAAUGAUGAAGGUCUUAGGAUUGUAAAAUUCUUUCACCGGGGACGAUAAUGACGGUACCCGGAGAAGAAGCUCCGGCUAACUUCGUGCCAGCAGCCGCGGUAAUACGAAGGGGGCUAGCGUUGCUCGGAAUUACUGGGCGUAAAGGGCGCGUAGGCGGACAGCUUAGUCAGAGGUGAAAGCCCAGGGCUCAACCUUGGAAUUGCCUUUGAUACUGGCUGUCUUGAGUACGGGAGAGGUGAGUGGAACUCCGAGUGUAGAGGUGAAAUUCGUAGAUAUUCGGAAGAACACCAGUGGCGAAGGCGACUCACUGGCCCGUUACUGACGCUGAGGUGCGAAAGCGUGGGGAGCAAACAGGAUUAGAAACCCGGGUAGUCC